UGCCGUGCAUAUCAGGACGAAGAGUUUUGGUGUGUCUCCACCAUGAACUGCAUACCUCUACUAUUCCCACUCCUCUUGCUCUACACAGGCUCUGUGGUCUCCUAUGAGCUGAUUCAGCCACCCUCAGUCUCAGUAGCCCCAGGACAGACAGCCACAAUCACCUGCUCUGGAGAUGCACUGCCUAAAAUUUAUGCAUACUGGUUCCAGCAGAAGCACCCAGGACAGAGCCCUCUCCGGUUAAUAUACAAAGAUAGUGAGAGACCCUCAGGGAUCCCGGAGAGAUUCUCUGGGUCCAGCUCAGGGACAACAGCCACCCUGACCAUCACCAGAACUCAGACUGAAGAUGAGGCUGUCUAUUACUGUUUAUCAUCAUAUGAUGAUAGUGGUAAUGCACUUUCCACAGUGACAGAGGCAGAUAGGGAAGCAGAUCUGCACAGAGGGCUGCAGUUCCUGUUCUCAGAUGUAGUCUUAGGUGUGGAUUGCACUCAGGCCCUGAUAUACAUGAAGCAUGUGCACCUUCCUUUAGGAAAUUCUGCAGAAUGA